AUUGAACGCUGGCGGCAGGCCUAACACAUGCAAGUCGAGCGAGCGGCGGAUGGGUGAGUCCUGGCUGGGAACCUGCCUGAUGGAGGGGGAGUACUACUGGAAACGGUAGCUCAUACCGCAUACCAUCAGAUCUGCCCAGGUGGGAUUAGCUGGUAGGUGGGGUAACGGCCCACCAAGGCGUCGAUCCCUAGCUGGUCUGAGAGGAUGACCAGCCACACUGGAACUGAGACACGGUCCAGACUCCUACGGGAGGCAGCAGUGGGGAAUAUUGCACAAUGGGCGCAAGCCUGAUGCAGCCAUGCCGCGUGUGUGAAGAAGGCCUUCGGGUUGUAAAGCACUUUCAGCGGGGAGGCGUUACCCGCAGAAGAAGCACCGGCUAACUCCGUGCCAGCAGCCGCGGUAAUUC
rnacentral:rRNA from 1 species